GGUGGGGGGGGCGGUGCGGGUCUGUCCCGGCCCGGCCCGUCCCGCCGCUCCCCCGCCACGGGUCGCCCCUCGGGUGCAGGCGGCAGCGGCAGCGGGAGCCCCGCCUGGCCAGCAGGGCCGCCCGGCGGCUCCCGGCGCGGGAGCGGCAGCCGGCAGGGGGCCGUGGCGUGAGCAGGGGCCGGGCGGGUGCGGGACGCCGCCGGCAGCCGGCACGGAUCCCCGCGUAGCUUGUCCCGGCCGGUGCCGUCAGCGUCGUGAAGCAGGCUGGGGGCUCUUCAGGUUUAAUGACGUUCAGAAACUCCAGCCCCUGGAUCUUAGGUUUUCUGCCUGACGGUUUCAGCCUGACGGUGAUGAGCCUCAUACACCCGCUCAGCAGACCCAGCACGUUGCCUUGGCACAGCCCGGGGAACCCCGGUAGAAGUCGGAGCAGGAAGGCCAAGCACUGUCGGCUCCAGAGCCUGAAAUCCCACGGGAUUCCCGCUGCUAGCUUGGUGGUGCACAUCUGAUGGCACAGGCAGAGAGGGAGGACCCACGCGCAGCCCUCAAGAGGCAUCACAGGAACGUGCUUUGGAUCCCUGCAGCAUCCCGGGGAUACUGCUGUGCUCUCAGGGGUCAGGCUCUGUGUUUUGGGGCUCUCUGGAGAGAUUCCAUUGUUUCUUGUGCAAGGUGCAGCAGAGUGGUCUGUGUGGAUAGUUCGGGGGUCAGGAUAGAGUCAGGGAAAUGCUCUGGCAUUAAUCACUGCUGGAUCUCAGGCAUAGGGCAGCAUCAAACCACUGUGUGAUCUGGCCUGGAAAAUCCUGUGUUUCUGCAUAAAUGAAGGGAGUACAAGUUACCUCUCCCAUUACUUUUCCUAAGUUGCAGCAACUGCUGUGGUGACAAGGGCCCAGUGCAGUUCUGACAGUUGCUGGUGAGAUAGCAGAAGGAUGAGUCAGCCAGGUUUUGACAUCAUAUAAGCAUCUCCUGCUUUCACACAAUUGCUUUUACUUCUACUUUUUUUUCUUCUCCUUUUAGUAACUAUAAUUCUCAAUUAUCUUAAUACGUGGGAAAUUCUCUGUAUGCUGACUUUUCUCCAAACCCCUCAGUUAACCUCAGUAGCAAUCCACGUAACUCUGAUGACAAGCUCUGUCACCUCAGCCAGUUAAGAUCCUCCCAUACUAAUAUGAUGACAGCUAAAUCAUUCUGGGAGGCAAGAAGAGGGCUCUCCUUUCUCAAAAUGCCAAAAGUGGAAGAGAAUAGCUCACAAGGAACAUAAUGAGGAUAGUACAUCGCAGCCACCCCUUAGUCCAUGUUCAGCAAUAAUAUCACAUAGGGAAAAAACCUGUUUUGCAUUUUGUGUUGCUUUUUUAAAAAAUGUUUUGUAUGUGAGCUACAGUAUCAAAAAUCAAUCACUCUUUUAAAUGAUCUUAUUUGUCUUGAUGGAAGGUAGUGCUUUGUUAUUCUUUACAAAGGGAAAUGCCCUAAAAAUCUACCUUGGCUAAGGGAGUUGGUGGUGCUUGCAUUACAGCUCAUGCCACCUCCUGCAGAGAUGUUGGGGAUGAGCUGUGUUGCUGAAUGCAAGUGUCACCCCACUUCUCUGCAAAGCAGCAGCUUCAAAGUCCUUGCAGGAGCUUGGCAGGACUCAGGGCCUGCCAGUGAAGCAGGAGUCAGGCAAAUCACCUCGCUAUUGCUUUGCACAGUCAUUUAAUGGCCAAGGUUUCACAAGAGGAGCCAUGCAAUGAUAUGUGUGCUGAAAAGCAGUUAUCAAAAUACGCACUGGGCAGAGGAGGUGGUGCUUCUGAGGCAGCAAAAGGAGUGGCAAGUGGUUGAAAAACGUGGGGAAGGACACCUUAACUCUAGGUCAAAGCUUUACCACCCAAACCAGAAGAAAAACAAGGUCAUCUCUAUACAAAGAUACACCAUAUAGUCAGGUAGUUUUAUUUGUUUUCAUAGGUGGGAAUCUAACUGGCUAGUAUUUAGAUAAUAAAUAAAUAGUAUUUCUUUACUAAGA